rnacentral:ncRNA from 1 species
GAUAGUAGUAAAUAUUCAAAGGAGAACUUCCAAGGCCGAAGUGGAGAACGGUUGCAUGUGAACAGCAGUUGAACGUGGAUCAGUCGGUCCUGAGAAAUAGGCGAGUGCCAUUCUGAAUGGACAGACGAUGGCCUCCGUUGCCCUCAGCCAAUCGAAAGGGAGUCCCGUUCAGAUCCCCGAAUCUGGAGUGGCGGAGGUGGACGCCGCCAAGCCUCCAGCGCAGUAAUGCGAACGAUCCCAGAGAAGCCGGCGAAAGGCCCUGGGGAGAGUUCUUUUCUCCUUGUGAAGGGCAAGGCGCCCUGGAAUUGGGUUCGCCUGGAGAGAGGGGUCCGUGCCUUGGAAAGCGUCAAGGUUCCAGUGGCAUCUGAUGAACUCUGGCUGGCCCUUGAAAAUGCAGGAAAGAGGGUGUAAAUCUGGCGCCAGGCUGUACCCAUAUCCGCAGCAUUUCUCCCUCUGGAACUAAGACAUCUAGGCC